CGUUUUAUCUUCAAAAAGUUUACUAACCCUAAAACUCAGUUUUCCUUGUUUAUUUUCGUUCUUUUCUUUCUCCGUUUCCUCCCUCUUCACCAAGCGAUGAAGCUUGUGGAUUUCAUUUGUUGUUUAACAAGAACAACACAAGGGUGUUGUCUUCAUCAAGCAAUGAAGAGGGAAACCAUCGUGAUCACCGAUAUCACUGCCGUUGCCAUACAUCUACAGAGAUCGGCAUGUGGCGUCCUUGUUCUCACUCUCCUUUCGCCACUCUUUCACAGUUGCACCGCGACGUGUGGUGUCGCAUCCAGGCCGUAUCCUCGUCGACUGUGCUAAACUCAGCUGGCUUUGUGUCUUAGCUAUGGCGGGUAAAAAGAGUCCGAAGCGUCUCAAAUACUCAGCCCCUCGCUUCUCCAAGUUCUAAUUUCUUCUCAAUUUAGUAAUAUUUGAAAUAUUAAGUGGAAAAAGAGUUAAAGAAACUGGAAUUGGCAGGUAGAUGGUUUGGUUUAUGUGGAAAUAAAAACAAGGCCUUAACAACUUCCUUUUGCAUAAUUUUGUUAACUUAAUUUUUAAAAUUUUUUAAUUUCAGAUUUUCAUAGAUUUAAUUCACCGUUCAAAUUUCCAGAUUCACCGUUCUAUGAAGCUCCACGCUGUGUUACACAUAUAGAUGAUGCAAGCAGUAUCACACUUACUAAGUACUAUUUAGGGGUUUUCCCUCGCAGUGCAGUAGUUGGGUCAGUCAUUUUCUGUGAGGAUACAAACAAGAACGAAUAGUUGGAAUGCGGAUGAAUGAGGAAGAAAUCAAGCGAAAUCCUGAGUACAAUAAUUAUUCUCACUUUUUUAAUGGUUGGAUUAUAAGUUGGUCAUCAAAACGUUGUCAUAUAAGCAGAAUUAGCUCUAUAUGCCAAUUAAAUAUCAUUUUAAUUUUAGAAUUAGCUUCGAAUCUGGGUGCUUAUUUUAAAUACCGUGAGAACCUGGCAUUGAUAGUUUGCAAUUAGAGACCAUCUUAGGACAGUCCAAAGUCUUGUAUUAAUUAAAAACUCUAAUUAAGUAGUCUGGUCGUAUGGUUGUUGACUUAAAGAAUUAUUGUAGCCGAUGAUAAAGGGCGCAAUUUCUUUGGUAGAGAGCUUCAUUGAUGCAUCAGACUAGGAAUAAGUGGUAGAGAGCUAGGCACCAUGUAUCAGACUAGGAAUGCAUCAAUGAUUAAAAAAAAACAAAGGGGCUUUGGUGGAUACGAUUAAACAAAGCUUGAAGAUUCAAUUAAGCUUUAGUGGGUGGUAAAGUAAGGGGCUUUUGCUUUGAUCAUGUUUAAACUACAAAUGUAAUUGUUUCUACCUGCUUGACAAGUGACUACAUUUGAUAAAAAAGGCUGCUCGAAGUACUUGUUGCAAUCCUAUCUAACCACAAGCAACAUAAAAGUAAUAAUUCAACUCUAUAGAUUUUAAAAUUUUAAGGAAAUAUCUAUUAAAACUAAUAUGGUGUACUCAAUUGGUUUUCACAAGUUUUGCUCGGUCCUUGUAUCUCUACAUACUUCAAAUCAGAGGAAAUACAAGAUAAUGUAAGGGUCAAGUUUUAUGUUUUCUCUCAUUUCUUUAGAUAAUGCUCAGCGGAUACGAUUUACACUCAAUUGCUUUGUCAUUGUUGAUUCUGUUUUGAAAUUGUAACUUAUAUUAAUUAUAUUAAGUAGCAACGUUUAGUCAAACAUGGAAUUGUAAAAUCUCCAAGGAUGAAAGAGGUUGGUCUUCAUAGAUUCAUCUACAAGGUUUCUUAGGUCUGCAAGCUUCAAUCUCACUACUUGCAUCUUUGUUGAAUUGCCUGUUAUUUGGUGAGUUCCAAUGAUCAUUACUUUUUGUUCCAGCUUUGAAAUUGGAUUUCUAAUGCCAAUUUAAUUAAAAGAUAACAUAACUAAGCUCCACCCUUAAAACAUUUUAUCGAAUUUAAUAAAAGUAGUGCAUUAAAUUUAAAAUCUUUCUUAAAACAAAUUUUUGUUUGGGCAAUGCAAGGUCACAGGAAGUUGAACAUGUUUAGGAAAACAUUGUCAUUUGUUCUAACCAUGAAGAAUGUGAUGCACGCCCUUCUCAAGUUAAGUUGACAAAAGGUUUUUCUGCCGAGGAAUAUGUAAAAGGCUUUUAUGUAUGAUUAAACAUUUUAUCUAAAAGAAACCUUUUCUGAAAUCCAAUGAUUAUUUACAUCUAUAUUUGAUGCUUUCUAUGACAAACACGUUUUCUUUUUGGCUUACUAUGAUUAUUUACAUCUAUAUCAAGGUAGUGUUGAGGACUUGGGUAGAGCAUCACGAUGAAGCAGCUCAAGAAAAUGAGGCUUCGAGCAGACAACUUCUGACUUUGUGACAUGAUGCGAGUUUCUUGUGCAUGGAAAGUUGGGUGCAUAGUUCAUUUGCUAGCAUAAUAAAGCCUAUUAAAGAAAUUGGAUUAUGUAUUUGAUUUAUAUUUGGAUUAUGUUUGUAUUAUAUAAUUUGCUUAGUUUGAUUUAAUUUAGAUUUUAUUUAGAUA